UCAUACUUAAGCUGAUGGUCUAGAGAUAC
rnacentral:sRNA from 1 species